CCGGAGAAAGGUCAAACCAAAGGAUGCAAGAUGCAAUCUUAAAGAAUCAAAUUAGAUUAUAAAACCAAAGUAUGAUCUACCUUUGAAGUGUUUCACCAACUUCACUAAGCAACGUUAUCAAAAUUUAAGCCCAGCUAAAGCUCAACCAACACUAGAGACAGCUGUCCAUGCGCCUAACAAAAUUAUACAUGAAGAUUGUCCUGAAUUCCUUGCUUUGAAAUCAAUAAGUAGCAACAUGGUUAGAGGAUCGAACAGCAACUGGAAAACUUAUUCUUUGAUGGUAAAUGGAGACCACCACUGGACCAAUGGCUGAGAUGUUACCUAAAAUGUGGAAGCUAUGUAUACAAAGAUCUCGUGACAAAAUCCAAGGACAUCAAGAGCACAAGAAGAGAGCAGGAAACAAAACCUCCUCAGCUACAAAGAAUAUGAAUCGAAUGUCUAGGAUUUUUGUCCAGAACCAGGAGGUGCAGGUGGCAUCCGGCUUGGUGUACGACGACUUCUAGACCCUGCAUCACCAUUUUGAGGGGAAUUUGAAGUACCAUCAAAUGCAGAUCGCCAUUCAUCACCUGAUGACUGCCCACCAGAUCUUGAGACGCUUU
rnacentral:lncRNA from 1 species